UUGUAACCUGCCUAGCAGUACAACACGUGAAAUGGAUCUAUAAUGGGGGGGGAGAAGUGUGGAAGCUCUUUCUCUCCUCGUUUCAGGUAGUACCUAGUAUAUCUCACCCAUUGCUUAAUGCAUUGGUGGAGUAAUUGCUGGAUACUCUUGAUAUAACAAAACCACGGCGUGAAUUGCGCCAAGGAAAUUUAUGAAAGAUAUGUCUUCCGUUGAUGUGUUAUCGCAUCAAAUUGGAGGAUUUGUUAUCUUUGUGAUGUCUUUAAUGACUCUCGGCAACGGAUAUCUCGGCUCUCGCAUCGAUGAAGAACGUAGCGAAAUGCGAUACUUGGUGUGAAUUGCAGAAUCCCGUGAACCAUCGAGUUUUUGAACGCAAGUUGCGCCCGAAGCCAUUUGGUUGAGGGCACGUCUGCCUGGGCGUCACGUACACACAUCUCGCCACUACCCAUUCCCCAAACUUAUUGGUGCAUUGAGGUGUUGGCGAGAUAUAAUAUUGGUCUCCCGUGAUGCUAUGUUGCGGUUGACCUAAAAAAGAGUACCUAGUGACUGGACGUCACGAUAAGUGGUGGUUUAAGCUAAUUGUGGUUUUUGCCGAAUCGUGUCGUGAGUGUUUGUCACUUUAAAAAGUGCUUGAGAUUGAACCCCUUACGUCU
rnacentral:rRNA from 1 species